ACCACAUGGAAUGUUAUUAAUCACCAAUUUACCACCUUAUUUUGUAUUUUUGAAGCAGGGAGAUGGAAUAAGGGCUUGCUCUGUCUACCCCGUGCAUCAUCCUGGUAUUGCAGUAUUUCCAGGAAUGCUGCACUUUCU
rnacentral:snRNA from 1 species